CUGGGUAGUUCCUUGGAACUGCCCCCGGGAUUGAAAUUGUUCGCCGUGGCUCACUGGCCUCGAGGACGGCUGCCAUGGCGCGACGCCCUUGGCCUUCUCCGCCUCCUUGCUCACACCCUCAAGUAUGUCGAUGACCACAUGGGCUGGUACGCUGGCGACCCCCGCUGAAGCGGGCCCACCACCUCCUGCAGCUCGGAGAUGCGAGCCUCCAGAUCCGGCUUCCACUCCUGGAUCGCCUCCACCUCGGCGCAGAGGUCGCCAAUCGACUCCUUGAUGUCGGAGAACUCUCCCAUGAGCUCGCACAUGAACUUUUUUAUUUUCGUUGUCCAUGGCGAGCCUCUUCUGCUUCUCGCGCCGUGUCUCGAUGAUACAACAAAAGGUUGGGGCCAGAUUUGCGGUGGAAGGUGGUAGGAAAUGGCUCUAGAUACCAAUUGAUAGGAACUACUAGGAUUCUCACUAUCUGUUUACACAAAUUGAGUCUGGUUACACGCUCAACGAGCUGAAUCUGGUAGGAAGGAAAGAGGAAAGUAGCUCAGGAGCCGCCGCCGCCAAG
rnacentral:rRNA from 1 species